UGAGGAAUAUUGGACAAUGGAUGGAAAUCUGAUCCAGCCAUGCCGCGUGCAGGAAGACGGCCCUAUGGGUUGUAAACUGCUUUUGUAUGGGAGCAAUAAGGUCUAUGCGUAGACUGAUGAGAGUACCAUACGAAUAAGCAUCGGCUAACUACGUGCCAGCAGCCGCGGUAAUACGGGGGAUGCAAGCGUAAUCCGGAUUUAUGGGGUUUAAAGGGUGCGUAGGCGGUUUGAUAAGUCAGCGGUGAAAUAUUUCAGCUUAACUGAAAGGGUGCCGUUGAUACUGUCAGGCUUG
rnacentral:rRNA from 1 species